GUAGCCCCAACCAUAAACACUGCAAGUGGUCUUUUCAGGAAUUGUGCAUCCAUAAUUAGUCCCUACCACAUUACUCAUCUCUGAAAAAUAUAUAUGAUACAAAUCUUACUUUGUAUCAAUUCAGCUUAAAUUUGAAGAAAGAAAACAUGCCAACAAUAAAAGUUGUAUCUAUAGAAGAGUAGGUGCCCUCAAGUCGGUUCUGACUCAUAGCAACCCUGUGACAACAGAAGGAAACACUGCCCGGUCGUGCACCAUCCUCACAGUCUUUGCUAUGCUUAUCUAAAAAUGUUAGCUGCCAGUGUACAUCCACAUUAAGAAUAUUCUAUGAUGGGGUUGUUAACCAAUGUCACAAAACAAUAUGUGUACUACUAUUUCAUGAGAAACUGUUUGUUCUGUAAGCCUUCACCUGAAGUACAAUAAAAAAAAAAAAAGAAUAUUCUAUGAUAAAAAAAAUUGGUAAACCAUGGCAUGCUGCUAUUGGAUUUAAAAUAUAUCUUGUGAUUAUCAUAAAUAGUAGUAUAAACCAAAAAACCAAACGUUUUGCCUUCGAGUCGACUGACUCAUAGUGAUCCCAUAGGACACAGUAGAACUGCCCCAUAGAGUUUCCAAGCAGCGGCUAGUGGAUUCGAACUGCUGACAUUUUGGUCAGCAGCUGAGCUCUUAACCACUGCACCACCAGGGCAAAUCUCAAUAAAAUUGAUUAAACGUGUAAUU